AAAAAACUCAUCUCAUUGUAAAUACGAUUUAUCAUUGGCAUGAAAAACGAGAAAGUUUAAUCUCGAAAUAGUUAAAUUAAAAAAUUAACAAGAUCUAAAACAAUUACUGAUAUCUUAUCAAUAAGUAAUACUGAAGUCGAGCUUCAGAAGAGAGAGCAAAUGUUCGAGACUUGACUCGUCCUCCAACUACCAUUGUGCUGUUGUUCCGAUCAUAGUACUUUUUAUACAACCCAUAAAUUCCAGAGUGAAAAAAUUCUUGCAGUUUUCGAUACAAAUGACCAAAGUAAACUUUGGAAUAAAAUGAGAAUACCCAACCAAAACUAGUCUUCAAAAAGUCAUCAUUUCCUGACAUGAAUAUAAUGCUAUCUUUCCUUAAAUGGGCUUCAGUUUCAAAAUACUUUAUAAAUGAUUCAAUUCUAUCGCCCGUAUCAAUAAAAGCUGUUUUAUUACAAUUUGCUAU